GGAUGCGAUCAUACCAGCACUAAAGCACCGGAUCCCAUCAGAACUCUGAAGUUAAGCAUGCUUGGGCGAGAGUAGUACUAGGAUGGGUGACCUCCUGGGAAGUCCUCGUGUUGAAUUCC
rnacentral:rRNA from 3 species